ACGUUGGCAGUUCAGUGGUACAACUCUAGCUUUCGAUGCAGGAAGCCCAGGCUCGAUUCCUGGCCGACGCA
rnacentral:tRNA from 1 species